rnacentral:rRNA from 1 species
UCAAAGAUUUAUCGCUGAAAGAUGGGCUCGCGUCUGAUUAGAUAGUUGGUGGGGUAACGGCCUACCAAGUCUACGAUCAGUAGCCGGACUGAGAGGUUGAACGGCCACAUUGGGACUGAGAUACGGCCCAGACUCCUACGGGAGGCAGCAGUGGGGAAUAUUGCACAAUGGGGGAAACCCUGAUGCAGCAACGCCGCGUGAAGGAUGACGGUUUUCGGAUUGUAAACUUCUUUUCUUAGUGACGAAGACAGUGACGGUAGCUAAGGAAUAAGCAUCGGCUAACUACGUGCCAGCAGCCGCGGUAAUACGUAGGAUGCAAGCGUUAUCCGGAUUUACUGGGUGUAAAGGGAGCGCAGGCGGGACUGCAAGUUGGAUGUGAAAUACCGUGGCUUAACCACGGAACUGCAUCCAAAACUGUAGUUCUUGAGUGAAGUAGAGGCAAGCGGAGUUCCGAGUGUAGCGGUGAAAUGCGUAGAUAUUCGGAGGAACACCAGUGGCGAAGGCGGCUUGCUGGGCUUUAACUGACGCUGAGGCUCGAAAGUGUGGGGAGCAAACAGGAUUAGAUACCCUGGUAGUCCACACUGUAAACGAUGAUAGCUAGGUGUGGGGGGUCUGACCCCUUCCGUGCC